rnacentral:lncRNA from 1 species
GUGCCCGGGGCUGGCUGCGCGAAGGGGGCGGGGCCUCCGGAGGCUGGCCAGCCAAUUGAGGUCGUCCGGAAAAAAGUGGUCGCGGCGUUGCCAAGGUAGGCUGCGCAGUGUCUGGGAUGAUGUCAUGGCUCCGUCUUAAAGGGGACGCGGGCGGCAGAAAGUGGAGCUGGGCUGGUGUGCGCGCGGCCGGAGUCUGUGGAGCUGGAAAUUCACCGGUCCAGGAAGACGUCUUUCCCGCGUCCCAGCACCGGUCCAGAAAGACGUCUUUCCCGCGUCCCAGCACCUCGGGCCACGCUCCUUCGUGAGAGCGCCCUCUCCAAGGAGGCCGGCCCUGGAUAUUUCACCCAAAAUAUUUAUUUUUUCUUUUUUUCUAGAGUCGGGGGUCUCCCUAUGUUUCCCAGGCUGGCCUCGAACUCCUGACCUCAAGUGAUCCUCCCACCUCAGCCUCCCCGAGUGCUGGGAUUAAAGACGUGAGCCACGGCACCUGGCCUGAAUUUUCCUCAAAUUCAAAAAAUCCUGAUGAAGGUUUGGCUAAAAUCUUUGGUGAGUUACCCCACUCCCUGUGGAACCUCAGGCUGGAUUUGAAGAGUUGCGUGCAUGGUCCUCAUUGUCUCCCAGGUAACCUGUUCCCGCUGCUGUGAAGGGAAGGCAGGUGCUCUUCCUUGAGGCUAGAAUCUGUCUACGUGUCACAGUCUCAGGAAAUUAAGCAAAACAGAUGAUAAACACCUCAAAAGGACCCUACUGAGCAUCAGUGGAGCAGAGCAGGGCCAUGUGGGACUGCGGCGUCAGAUGCCACCUCACACUAGCUGUGACACACCUGCCUCGCCAGUUUCUGCUCUGAGGCCCCAAAGCCGAGCUGAACCUCCUCCAGGGGUUCUCAGCCCUAACUGAGCAUGAAAACCCCUGGGGCAAUCCUCUUUUUAACAAUUGAGACAUUCCACACACACCCCACAUCAGAUUUUGGGGUGUGGGGAUAGACCUUCACAUUUGUAGUUUUCUAACCCUCCAGGGGACACUAGGCUGAGACUCAUUGGUCUCCACUCUGAACCUUCCACUGAACAUGUGAGAAAAACUAAGGCCCAGGGAAGUCUUUAGCAGAGAGCUGAGACGGAGAAAAGGGUUCUGAACCACAGCUGUCUGCUGAAGGAAGCUGUCCAAAGGCCAGUGAAGUCUCUCCUGAGGGUGCCUGGGCUGUGCAUCAGGAGUGAAGGUUGAGGGUCACCUUAGGUGUGAGAAGGAGCAACUGGGAGAGUGGCGCUGAUGCUUCCCCCCGGGUUAGGAGGCAUUUGGAUCACAGAGCGAUGCCUGUUCAUUCCUGCUUGCAAGGGAGCAGAUCUCUCGACACCCGAUGGGCCUCUAUUCCGUUCCGGCAGCUGUCCGUGUCAGGAGCGCUGGGCUUGCUCCUCCCCACGGGAGCCAUCACAGAGGCCUCGGGCAGUCUGCAUAGACAACUGCCUGGCAGGUGACCAGGAGGGGAUGCAUGAGCAGAUGCAGGUAGCACUCGCAGUCCCCCUAGCUGUGCCCUCAGCACCUGCUGUCUAGGAGGCAGAAGCCUUGUUCUCGGCCUUGCAGGUGACCCCAGUGUCUCUGAAUUCGGCCCCAUAUGUGUAGGAGGGGAGUGAUUGCAUCUGAAGAUGGGAGUCUGGUUGGGGGUUUGGGAAGCUCCCAUCACCCCUCAAGAGUCCACUGACCAGCCCAGCUCACACCAGGUGGGCCUUGGCACUGGAGGCCACGGCUCAACUCUGCAGUUCCCUCUGGGCAGCAUUUCCAGGGACUCGUAGGUCAGCAUGGUCAUCAAGGACAGGUGGUGAGAGCAGCUCCUCAUUGUCCUGGUGACCCCGAUGGUUCAUUUUCUGGUGUCUCUGUGGUGAGCUCCUGUUACAUCAAGCGAGUGGAAACCACCGAGGACCAACAGCCCUGGAAAUGCACUGAGAAUGCAGGAUGAGUGGGCUUUGUGAGGACUGUUUUCUGUGACUUAGCAAGGAAAGCCUGGAAGGGAAAGUAAAACUGCUUCUUCCCAGGGAAGCCAGAAACCUGAGAACUUAAAAGGGAAGGAGAACUUAAUAUAUUUCAAAAAUGUAACCCUUGUGAAUUAGCAACAGCUUUAUAAACAAAGAGAUUUCCGAGCUUAUAGAAUCUAUUCUGCUUUGUUUCUGCCCCCAUGGCUCCUACCCCUGUUUUUGUGGGUACAAUUUUCAUAUAGAACAUUUUUACACAAGCUUCAAAACUCUCUGAGGACAGCUUUCCCCUUUGUGUCUGUCGGGUCCCAGGCAGUCACAUCCCAGGAAGUGCUGGGGUUGGGCUCCUUGCUCCACAUCCUUCUUCAGUGGCACGAAGCGUGGGGUGGAGUGUGUGAGUCAUGUGUGAUCUUGGUGUGGGCUAUGGCUGGUCUGCAGCACCCCUUCAAUGACUGCUUCAAGGGCUUUUCAUGAUGCUUGUAGCUCAUGAGCUAGUGUUUCCUAGAUGCUGUUUCCAGGUGUCUUGCAUGUCACACACUGGCCUACCAGGGCUGGAGUGAGAUCAUGAGCGCCAGAUUGUUGGUGAAGGAAGUUGACAGAGACAUCGAAUGUCGGUGAACAGGAGUGACCUUGGGUCUCAAUAAAUACUGUGGUCAACUGAAUCCAGAACCCACCCUUACCAGCAGGGCCCACUUCUUCCCCAGCAGGCCGAGCUCUUCCCCUCCUGUCUUCCCUGGCCCUUGCUUUGUAGCUCUGUGUGGCUGUGUCAUGUCUGGUUGUAUCUGUAUAUACUUCUGCCUCUCCCGCUAUCUAGAUGGCUCGGGGAGGCACACCACACACCAGGUCACCUUCCUCUCUGAACCCCCAGCACCUCAUACUGUUUCUGUGCAGAGAUAAGGCUGGGUGAAAGCUUGUGUGAAUGAUCUGAAGUCUUCUACUCUAGGCCAGUCUCCAGGAGCAUUAUGAUCUUUAGGAGGGUGGGCUUGGUUCCUCUGUACAAUAAUGGGUCAUAAAACUGAGUGGUCAAGAUCAUCCCGGUGAGGGCAGUCCGUGUGUUGCCAUAGUUGCUGUACCGGUUAAGAAUGCACCUGGCUGCAAUUUCCUGAAAACCUGACGUAUAGUGGCUUAAACAAAGAGUGGUUUAUUUUCCUUCUGUCAUAGCAAUCUGGGGGAGGCCACUGUGGCUUUGGCGCAGGAGGUCGGGAAAGGCCCGCUUCUCUGAUAUCAUUGGGGGCCUCCCCAGUGCUUGUGUGGCAGAAUGACAAGAGGAAGAAGAAGGAGAAUUAUGGCACUGAGUAUCAUGAGAUUUGGGGUCAUAUAUCUUUAGUGGGCGGUGUUUGCUGCCCCAAAUGUCUCAUGCCAUUAAAAUGUUCUGGAAAUGAUUUAGGUAGUUGGAGUUUCCUUCCCAAAGACAAGGCAUUUACAGCAUGAUGUCCAAUAUCCAUUGAGUUUGUGUCAUGCAUUCAUUGUAUUCAUAGUCUGCUUUAGGUACUUAGCAAAAUAUUGCUGAUAUUAACAUGCCUUUGUUUGCUUCACUGGAGAUGAAAUUGUGCUCCAAGUGUUUUCCAAGGUUCCGUAUGACCCAUCAUUUGAUGAAACAAGAACAGCAGUCAGAUCCAUUACAAAGAGAGACACACAAAAAAACUAUGUGAAAAUGAGCUUAGCCCCUGGUGUUGUGUUGGAACUUCAGAUGCUUGCAGACACUUCAUGAAUGCUCUGUGACACUCAGAAUAGGCUAUUCCCAACAGAAGAGCUUGAACAAUGCUGCAUUUGCAUCAGGUUCAAAUGAGCGAGAGGAACAUUUGGCUAAAAUAUUUGGAACCAGCAUUGCUUGGAAUUCUCCUAAACCAGAAUAUUUCCUUGGCAGUGUGGACAAAAUUCCUGAUAAAGAUCACCUUUCAGAGGAGAAGAAUUUUAAAGAAUCCUGUCUGUUCGACAGGGAUUUAAGAGAGCAGUUAACUACUAUAGAUAAAGAAACACUUCAAGGAGCAGCUAAACCAGAUGCUCACUUUAGGACUAUGCCCUGCGGGCAGCUUCUGCACUUCCUGCAGAGGAACACCAUCAUCGCCGCCGUCUCAGGGGUGGCCAUCCUCAUGGCCAUCGUGCUGUUGCUGCUUGGGUUGGCCUCAUACAUCAGGAAGAAACAGCCAUCAUCUCCUCUGGCAAACACGACAUAUAAUAUUUUUAUAAUGGAUGGAAAGACAUGGUGGCACAAUUCUGAAGAAAAAAAUUUCACAAAACUUGCAAAAAAACAGAAACAGUUGAAGAGCAGCUCCUGUGUCUAAGCCAGGUCGUGGGGCCGUCAAACCAGGACUUGAAACCACAAUGCGAGGACAUUCUCCAUCUGCGCACCACAGGGAGGCAAUUCCAUUUCUGCCCGGGAGGUGUAUUCUACAAAAACGUCUGCUUCCCAUCCCAAUUUGAAUGGACCAAGAAAAACUGCUUUACCAUAGGACACUUGUGGCAAUAUGGCACCGAUGGCUGGCGUCGGUGAACCCGACAGACUAUGGAUUUAUCAUUUAAUAAAGCAUUGAUUCAUUUUUUCAGUCAUUCAUUGAACAGAUAUUAAUAGACCACCUCACAUGCUGACAAUAUCAAAAUACAAUGAGGAAACUAACAGUGACCCAGGCAUGCAUUCUUCCCCGAGCAAGAUCACAGUCCAUGGUGUGAGCACAACCAUACUAAAUAGCUUUUAUGGGAGGUGGGAGUACAGAAAGUAUUAUAUCUGCAAAGAAACUGCUAAGAAUUGUGGGAGCGCCCCAGGAGGUGAUUUCCUGCUUGCGUGACCAGCACAAAGAAAUGGGGUAAUUGAGAGUGUCAUGAAGUGGGGUUAUUUAUUUAUUGAGUCGGAGUCUUGCUCUGUCACCCAUGCUGGAGUGCAGUGGCGUGAUCUCAGCUCACUGCAACCUCCGCCUCCCGGGUUCAAGCGAUUCUCCUGCCUCAGCCUCCCGAGUAGCUGGGAUUAUAGGUGCGUGCCACCACACCCAGCUAAUUUUUGUAUUUUUAGUAGAGAUGGAGUUUCACCAUGUUGGCCAGGCUGCUCUCAAACUCCUGACCUCAGGUGAUCCCCCCGCCUUGGCCUCUCAAAGUGCUGGGAUUAUAGGCAUGAGCCACCAUGCCCGGCCCAUAGAAGUUUUCAGUUCAUUUAUGCACAGUUUAAGCUGAGAAUGUGAAAGGCUAAACUCAUCCCUUUCUUUCCCCACUUUCUCCAGCAACCAGCCAAUAUCAUACUCCUCAGUUUAAUUAAAAUGUUCUCAGAUAUCAUCAAACACGUGGGCACCCAGAACCUUGCCUUUUAUAUGUGUUUGAUUGAGAGUAUCCAAUGGUAAUAUUUUGUAUAUCUCUAUUGCCACAUCAUGCCAUGGAGUACCUAAAUGCCCUCUUGGCCACUGGAAAUAGAUUUAAGAUUCUGUUCCUCUCUUCUAGUACCAAAAUUUGGAUGAGUCAGGGUCCCAUGAGAGAAACAGAACUAGUAGGAGGAUAUAUAGAGUAGUAAGAGAUUUUUUUAACUUUUAAUUUUUGUGGGUACAUAGUAGGGGUAUGUAUUUAUGGGGUACACGAGAUAUUUUGAUACAGGCAUGCCAUGCAUAAUAAUCACGUGAGGGUGAAUGGAGUAUCCAAAACCUGGUGCAUUUAUCCUUCAUGUUAUAAACAAUCCAAUUAUGUUCUUUUAGUUAUUUUUAAGGUGCAAUUAAAUUACUAUUGACUGUGGUCCCCCUACUGUGCUAUCAAAUACUAGGUCUUAUUCAUUCUUUUAUUUUUUGUACCUAUUAACCAUCCUUACAUCUCCCCCACCCCCACUACUCUUCCCAGCCUCUGGUAACCACCCUUCUACUCUCUAUCUCCAUGAAUUCAAUUGUUUUAAUUCUUAGCUCUCAGAAAUGAUGAGCGCAUGCAAAGUUUGUCUUUCUGUGCCUGGCUUAUUUCACUCAACAUAAUGACUUCCAGUUCCAUCUAUGUUGGUGCAAAUGACCAUUUUUUGAAUGGCUGAAUAGUACUCCAUUGUGUAAAUGUACCACAUUUCCUCAUCCAUUCAUCUGUUGAUAGACUGUUGUUAGGUUGUUUCCAGAUCUUGGCUAUUGUGAAUAGUGCUGCAAUAAACAUGAGAGUGCAGAUAUCUCUUUUAUACACUGAUUUCCCUUCUUUUGAGUAUAUACACAGCAGUGGGAUUGCUGGAUUGUAUGGUAGCUCUAUUUUUAGUUUUUUGAGGAACCUCCAAACUGUUCUCCAUAGUGGUUGUACUAACGUACAUUCCAUACAUUAGCAAUAAUGUAUGAGAGUUCCCUUUUCUCCACAUCCUCGCCAGCACUUGUUAUUGCCUAUCUACUGGAUAUAAGGGACAAUUCUUCUCUAGAGCCUCUGAGGGGCCUGCAGCCCUGCUAACACCUCGGUUUCAG